rnacentral:rRNA from 1 species
AACGAACGCUGGCGGCAGGCUUAACACAUGCAAGUCGAACGCCCCGCAGGGGGAGUGGCAGACGGGUGAGUAACGCGUGGGAAUCUACCCAGUUCUACGGAACAACAGAGGGAAACUUCUGCUAAUACCGUAUACGACCUACGGGGGAAAGAUUUAUCGGAAUUGGAUGAGCCCGCGUUGGAUUAGCUAGUUGGUGAGGUAAUGGCUCACCAAGGCGACGAUCCAUAGCUGGUCUGAGAGGAUGAUCAGCCACAUUGGGACUGAGACACGGCCCAAACUCCUACGGGAGGCAGCAGUGGGGAAUCUUGCGCAAUGGGCGAAAGCCUGACGCAGCCAUGCCGCGUGAAUGAUGAAGGUCUUAGGAUUGUAAAAUUCUUUCACCGGGGACGAUAAUGACGGUACCCGGAGAAGAAGCCCCGGCUAACUUCGUGCCAGCCGCCGCUGUAAAAC